rnacentral:tRNA from 2 species
GCCCCGUCACUCGGUGGCAGCAUCUCCGUCGCGCUUGUAAAGCGAAGGUCGUCGGUUCGAAUCCGACAGGGGGCU